GCUGUAAACGAUGAUUACUGGGUGUGGGCAGGAAGACUGUCUGUGCCGAAGCAAAUGCGAUAAGUAAUCCGCCUGGGGAGUACGGCCGCAAGGCUGAAACUCAAAGGAAUUGACGGGGACCCGCACAAGCGGUGGAGCAUGUGGUUUAAUUCGACGCAACGCGAGGAACCUUACCAGAUCUUGACAUCCUACGAAUGCUUAUGAAGAUAGGCAGUGCCUUCGGGAACGUAGAGACAGGUGGUGCAUGGCUGUCGACAGCUCGUGUCGUGAGAUGUUGGGUUAAGUCCCGCAACGAGCGCAACCCUUAUCGUUAGUUACCAUCAUUAAGUUGGGGACUCUAGCGAGACUGCCUGCGAAGAGCAGGAGGAAGGUGGGGAUGACGUCAAGUCAUCAUGCCCCUUAUGAUCUGGGCUACACACGUGCUACAAUGGGCAGUACAGAGAGGAGCGAGAUAGUGAUAUGGAGCGAAUCUUGAAAGCUGUUCUAAGUUCGGAUUGAAGUCUGCAACUCGACUUCAUGAAGUUGGAAUCGCUAGUAAUCGCGGAUCAGCAAUGCCGCGGUGAAUACGUUCUCGGGUCUUGUACACACCGCCCGUCACACCACGAGAGUUGUCUGCACCUGAAGUUACUGGUCUAACUUAUGAGGAAGGUACCUAAGGUGUGGAUAGUGAUUGGGGUGAAGUCGUAACAAGGUAUCCGUACCGGAAGGUGCGGAUG
rnacentral:rRNA from 1 species